GUCCGGAGGGGAUUUCCACUAAGUCCGCCCGUGGGAGACCCGGGCUUGGUCCGGCCGCGGCUCAGCCCCGCGUGGGGGCCCCGGGAGGUUUCACCUUCUUACCCCGCACACCCCGCGUGUCUCUCAUCUUACCUGCAUUUCCAAAGAGCUCGCGAGGUCCCGCCCCCGGCUGCCCCGGCCCGUCCAGGGGUGGCGGGAUCCCCAGUGGGCUGGGGCCGCACAGCUUCCCACGGGACGGCGUCGGUCCCCUGCUCCUCCCGGAAUCUCUCCUGCAACAGGAAGGGGACAGCGGAGCUUGGGGUCCAUCCUCGGCACGGAGAAGGGCUCUAUUUUCCCCUGCAGGUUGUGGGCGGAGAGCACGGGAUGCACCACCAGAGGCUGGAGGAACCCUGUUCAGGUUCUACUGUCAAGAUGCUUGAGGACACCGUUUCCCAGAACUAAGCACCGGCAAGCGGGCUGUACCCUGAGGUUGGCAUAAAAACAAUCCUUUGUACUAUGGAUAAUCUCAUCCUUUGGCAACGUAAAUUGCUUCGACUAGCACCAGACGUUCCUUGAUUUAUGCUCAAAAUCCAUUUAUUAAUAUAUAUAUGUAUAUAUAAUUUAUUGUUAUAUACAUUAUAUAUAUAAUUUCUUAUGAGCAAAACCAGAUACCGCACUCCUCUUCCCACCAUGCUAACUCUGGUUCUGUACCCCGCUGAAUGGUAAAAGGCUCAAUGAUCCUUAUGCAACUUGAGACUAUUCCCAUGAGACCCAAGAAUGCCUCCACUGUCCCAAGAAAUGCCGAAUUUGCUCUGAAAUUAAAUUUGUUUGAUCCCUGA